rnacentral:rRNA from 1 species
GACGAACCGUCCGAACGUUAUUCGGAAUUAUUGGGCUUAAAGGGUGCGUAGGCGGCGCUGUCAGUCAGGUGUGAAAUCCCACGGCUCAACCGUGGAAUGGCGCCCGAUACUGCAGUGCUCGAGGGAGACAGAGGUAAGCGGAACUGAUGGUGGAGCGGUGAAAUGCGUUGAUAUCAUCAGGAACACCAGUGGCGAAAGCGGCUUACUGGGUCUCUUCUGACGCUGAGGCACGAAAGCUAGGGUAGCGAACGGG